GACGAACGCUGGCGGCGUGCUUAACACAUGCAAGUCGAACGGGAUUUAGUAAACAGAAGCCUCGGUGGAAGAUUACUAGUGAGAGUGGCGAACGGGGGAGGAACGCGUGAGCAACCUGCCUAUGACAGAGGGAUAGCCUCGGGAAACCGGGAUUAAUACCGCAUAAAAUCGUAGAAACACAUGUUUUAACGGUCAAAGUUUUAUCGGUCAUAGAUGGGCUCGCGUCUGAUUAGCUAGUUGGUGAGAUAACAGCCCACAAAGGCGACGAUCAGUAGCCGGUCUGAGAGGAGGACCGGCCACAUUGGAACUGGGACACGGUCCAAACCCCUCCGGGAGGAAGCAGUGGGGAAUAUUGCACAAUGGGGGAAACCCUGAUGCAGCGACGCCGCGUGAACGAAGAAGGUAUUCGUAUCGUAAAGUUCUGUACUAGGGGAAGAUAAUGACAGUACCAUAGAAGAAAGCUCCGGCUAAAUCCGU
rnacentral:rRNA from 1 species